AUGGGUAGCAAAGAGGAUUAGAUACCCUCGUAGUCCAUACCAUAAACGAUGAUUGCUAGAUGUUGGAAAUUUAUUUUCAGUAUCGCAGCUAACGCAUUAAGCAAUCCGCCUGGGGAGUACGACCGCAAGGUUAAAACUCAAAUGAAUUGACGGGGACCCGCACAAGCGGUGGAGCAUGUGGUUUAAUUCGAAGAUACGCGCAGAACCUUACCAACCCUUGACAUGUCUGUCGCGAGUUUAGGAAACUAGACUUUUCGGUUCGGCCGGACAGAACACAGGUGCUGCAUGGCUGUCGUCAGCUCGUGUCGUGAGAUGUUGGGUUAAGUCCCGCAACGAGCGUAACCCCUACUUUUAGUUGCCAUCAGGUCAUGCUGGGCACUCUGAAAGAACUGCCAGUGAUAAGCUGGAGGAAGGUGGGGAUGACGUCAAGUCCUCAUGGCCCUUACGGGUUGGGCUACACACGUGCUACAAUGGUAGUGACAAUGAGAUGCAAGGUGGCGACGCUAAGCUAAACUCAAAAAUCUACCUCAGUUCGGAUUGCACUCUGCAACUCGAGUGCAUGAAGCUGGAAUCGCUAGUAAUCGUAGAUCAGCGUGCUACGGUGAAUACGUUCCCGGGUCUUGUACACACCGCCCGUCACACCAUGGAAGUUGGUUCUACCUUAAAGCAGAUUGCUAACCGCAAGGAGGCGUUUGACCAAGGUAUAGUCAGCGACUGGGGUG
rnacentral:rRNA from 1 species